rnacentral:rRNA from 1 species
GACGAACGCUGGCGGCGUGCUUAACACAUGCAAGUCGAACGGAAAGGCCCUGCUUGCAGGGUACUCGAGUGGCGAACGGGUGAGUAACACGUGGGUGAUCUGCCCUGCACUUCGGGAUAAGCUUGGGAAACUGGGUCUAAUACCGGAUAGGAGCCAUCUUUAGUGUGGUGGUUGGAAAGUUUUUUCGGUGUAGGAUGAGCUCGCGGCCUAUCAGCUUGUUGGUGGGGUAAUGGCCUACCAAGGCGGCGACGGGUAGCCGGCCUGAGAGGGUGUACGGCCACAUUGGGACUGGGAUACGGCCCAGACUCCUACGGGAGGCAGCAGGUGGGAAUAUUGCACAAUGGGCGCAAGCCUGAUGCAGCGACGCCGCGUGGGGGAUGAAGGCCUUCGGGUUGUAAACUCCUUUCGCUAGGGACGAAGCUUUGUUGUGACGGUACCUAGAUAAGAAGCACCGGCUAACUACGU